UAUAAAAGUGUAUGAUGCACGUUAGUUUUUGAUUCUAGAGGUAAUAGUCUGUCUCUUAU
rnacentral:tRNA from 1 species